GACAGAGGUGCCGAGCGUUAGGCGGAAUCACUGGGCGUAAAGCGUGCGCAGGCGGUUGUGCAAGACAGAUGUGAAAUCCCCGGGCUUAACCUGGGAAUUGCAUUUGUGACUGCACGGCUAGAGUGUGUCAGAGGGGGGUAGAAUUCCACGUGUAGCAGUGAAAUGCGUAGAUAUGUGGAGGAAUACCGAUGGCGAAGGCAGCCCCCUGGGAUAACACUGACGCUCAUGCACGAAAGCGUGGGGAGCAAACAGG
rnacentral:rRNA from 1 species